rfam:Oryza sativa Japonica Group DNA, chromosome 3, cultivar: Nipponbare, complete sequence.
GCUUUCGUAUCUCAGUUGGUUAGAGCACCCGUUUGGUAAGCGGGAGGUCUUGAAGUUCGACUCUCAACGAAAGCA